UACGUAGGGGGCAAGCGUUGUCCGGAUUUAUUGGGCGUAAAGCGCGUGUAGGCGGCCAGGUAGGUCAGCUGUGAAAACUCGAGGCUCAACCUCGAGACGCCGGUUGAAACCAUCUGGCUAGAGUCCGGAAGAGGAGAGUGGAAUUCCUGGUGUAGCGGUGAAAUGCGCAGAUAUCAGGAAGAACACCCGUGGCUAAGGCGGCUCUCUAGUACGGUACUGACGCUGAGACGCGAAAGCGUGGGGAGCGAACAGG
rnacentral:rRNA from 1 species